rnacentral:rRNA from 1 species
CCUACGGGAGGCAGCAGUGAGGAAUUUUCCGCAAUGGGCGAAAGCCUGACGGAGCAAUACCGCGUGAGGGAUGAAGGAUUUUGGUCUGUAAACCUCUUUUCUCAAGAAAGAAGUUCUGACGGUACUUGAGGAAUAAGCAUCGGCUAACUCCGUGCCAGCAGCCGCGGUAAUACGGGGGAUGCAAGCGUUAUCCGGAAUGAUUGGGCGUAAAGCGCCUGUAGGUUGUUUAUUAAGUCCGUUGUUAAAGCCUAGGGCUCAACCCUAGAAAAGCAAUGGAAACUAGUAGACUAGAGUAUGGCAGGGGUAGAGGGAAUUUCUAGUGUAGCGGUGAAAUGCGUAGAUAUUAGAAAGAACACCGGUGGCGAAAGCGCUCUACUGGACCAUUACUGACACUCAGAGGCGAAAGCUAGGGUAGCAAAAGGGAUUAGAUACCCCUGUAGUCCUAGCCGUAAACGAUGGAUACUAGAUGUUGUGCAUUAUGUACAGUAUCGUAGCUAACGCGUUAAGUAUCCCGCCUGGGGAGUACGCUCGCAAGGGUGAAACUCAAAGAGUAGUACGGACGUGNGAGACGCGACGACGACGACGACGGAGGAGAG